rnacentral:rRNA from 1 species
GAUUAACGCUGGCGGCGUGCCUAACACAUGCAAGUCGAACGAUGCAAUUUUACUGACUUCUUCGGAAUGAUUUAACGCGGAUUAGCCGCGAACGGGUGUGUAACGCGUGCGUCACCUGCCUUACACAAGGGGGUAGCCUCUGGCAACGGAGAAUAAUACCCUAUGUAACUAGACAAUCGCAUGAUAAUCUGGUUAAAAUGUUUAGAGGUGUACGAUGGAAUUGCGUCUGAUUGGCUAGUUGGGGAGAUAAACGCUCACCAAGGCAACAAUCAGUAGCCGGCUGGAAGGAGUGUACGGCCACCUUGGGACUGAGACACGGCCCAAACCCCUACGGAAGGAAGCAGUGGGGAUUUUGGAACAAUGGGGGAAACCCGGAUGCGGCGUCGCCGGGGGAUGAAGAAGGCCUUCGGGUUGUAAAAAUCUUUUGUAUAGGAAGAAAAUGACAGUACUAGACGAAUAAGGUCCGGCUAAUUACGUG